UUCAGGCCUAACACAUGCAAGUCGAACGAAGGCCCGCAGUUUGCUCCGGUGUCCUUAGUGGCGGACGGGUGAGUAACACGUGGGAAUUUGCCCUUCGGUACGGAACAACUCGCGGAAACGGGAGCUAAUACCGUAUACGCCCUACGGGGGAAAGAUUUAUCGCCGAAGGAUGAGCCCGCGUCGGAUUAGCUAGUUGGUGAGGUAACGGCUCACCAAGGCGACGAUCCGUAGCUGGUUUGAGAGGACGAUCAGCCACACUGGGACUGAGACACGGCCCAGACUCCUACGGGAGGCAGCAGUGGGGAAUAUUGGACAAUGGGGGCAACCCUGAUCCAGCCAUGCCGCGUGAGUGAUGAAGGCCUUAGGGUUGUAAAGCUCUUUCAGCGGGGAAGAUGAUGACGGUACCCGCAGAAGAAGCCCCGGCUAACUCCGUGCCAGCAGCCGCGGUAAUACGGAGGGGGCAAGCGUUGUUCGGAAUUACUGGGCGUAAAGCGCGCGUAGGCGGUGCAUCUAGUCAGACGUGAAAUCCCUGGGCUCAUCCCAGGAAUUGCGUUUG
rnacentral:rRNA from 1 species